GAUGAACGCUAGCUACAGGCUUAACACAUGCCAGUCGCGGGGCAGCAUGGGGGUUGCUUGCAAUCCCCGAUGGCGACCGGCGCACGGGUGAGUAACGCGUAUCCAGCCUGCCCUUCACCACGGGAUAACCCGGCGAAAGUCGGACUAAUACCGUAUGUUGUCCAUUGACGGCAUCCGAUUUGGACGAAAGGUUUGGCGGUGAAGGAUGGGGAUGCGUCCGAUUAGCUGGACGGCGGGGUGACGGCCCACCGUGGCGACGAUCGGUAGGGGUUCUGAGAGGAAGGUCCCCCACACUGGAACUGAGACACGGUCCAGACUCCUACGGGAGGCAGCAGUGAGGAAUAUUGGUCAAUGGGCGUAAGCCUGAACCAGCCAAGUAGCGUGCAGGAUGACGGCCCUAUGGGCUGUAAACUGCUUUUAUGCGGGGAUAAAGUGGCCCACGUGUGGGUUUUUGCAGGUACCGCAUGAAUAAGGACCGGCUAAUUCCGUG
rnacentral:rRNA from 1 species